CCUGGCAGUCAGAGGCGAUGAAGGGCGUGCUAAUCUGCGAUAAGCGCCGGUAAGGUGAUAUGAACCGUUAUAACCGGCGAUACCCGAAUGGGGAAACCCAGUGUGACUCGUCACACUAUCAUUAACUGAAUCCAUAGGUUAAUGAGGCGAACCGGGGGAACUGAAACAUCUAAGUACCCCGAGGAAAAGAAAUCAACCGAGAUUCCCCCAGUAGCGGCGAGCGAACGGGGAGGAGCCCAGAGCCUGAAUCAGCAUGUGUGUUAGUGGAAGCGUCUGGAAAGGCGCGCGAUACAGGGUGACAGCCCCGUACACAAAAGCGCAUGUGCUGUGAGCUCGAUGAGUAGGGCGGGACACGUGGUAUCCUGUCUGAAUAUGGGGGGACCAUCCUCCAAGGCUAAAUACUCCUGACUGACCGAUAGUGAACCAGUACCGUGAGGGAAAGGCGAAAAGAACCCCGGCGAGGGGAGUGAAAAAGAACCUGAAACCGU
rnacentral:rRNA from 2 species